rnacentral:rRNA from 1 species
CAGCASUGGGGAAUCUUGGACAAUGGGCGCAAGCCUGAUCCAGCCAUGCCGCGUGAGUGAUGAAGGCCUUAGGGUCGUAAAGCUCUUUCGCCAGAGAUGAUAAUGACAGUAUCUGGUAAAGAAACCCCGGCUAACUCCGUGCCAGCAGCCGCGGUAAUACGGAGGGGGUUAGCGUUGUUCGGAAUUAVUGGGCGKAAAGCGUACGUAGGCGGAUUAGUCAGUCAGAGGUGAAAUCCCAGGGCUCAACCCUGGAACUGSCUUUGAUACUGCUAGUCUUGAGUUCGAGAGAGGUGAGUGGAAUUCCAAGUGUAGAGGUGAAAUUCGUAGAUAUUUGGAGGAACACCAGUGGCGAAGGCGGCUCACUGGCUCGAUACUGACGCUGAGGUACGAAAGUGUGGGGAGCAAACAGGAUUAGAUACCCUUGGUAGUCCACACCGGUAAACGAUGAAUGCCAGUCAGUCUGGGCAGUAUACUGUUCGGUGACACACCUAACGGAUUAAGCAUUCCGCCUGGGGAGUACGGUCGCAAGAUUAAAACUCAAAUGGAAUU